rnacentral:rRNA from 1 species
GACGUAGGGCGCGAGCGUUGUCCGGAUUUAUUGGGCGUAAAGAGCUCGUAGGCGGCUUGUCGCGUCGACUGUGAAAACCCGCGGCUCAACUGUGGGCUUGCAGUCGAUACGGGCAGGCGUGGAGUUCGGUAGGGGAGACUGGAAUUCCUGGUGUAGCGGUGAAAUGCGCAGAUAUCAAGGAGGGAACACCGGUGGGCGAAGGCGGGUCUCUGGGCCGA